GUACUGAUGAAGAGUCCCAAACUAGGACGAAAUAGCUGUACAGUAC
rfam:Trichobilharzia regenti genome assembly, scaffold: TRE_scaffold0008289